rnacentral:rRNA from 1 species
AUUGAACGCUGGCGGCAGGCCUAACACAUGCAAGUCGAACGGCAGCGGGGGAUAGCUUGCUAUCCUGCCGGCGAGUGGCGGACGGGUGAGUAAUGCAUGGGGAGCUGCCCAGUCGAGGGGGAUAACAACUGGAAACGGUUGCUAAUACCGCAUACGCCCUUUGGGGGAAAGGUGGGGAACUUCGGUCCUACCGCGAUUGGAUGCGCCCAUGUGGGAUUAGCUAGUUGGUGAGGUAACGUCUCACCAAGGCGACGAUCUCUACCUGGUCUGAGAGGAUGACCAGCGACACUGGAACUGAGACCGGGUCCAGAUUCCUACGGGGGGCAGCGGUGGGGAAUAUUGCACAAUGGUGGAACCCCUGAUGCAGCCAUGCCGCGCGUGUGAAGAAGGCCUUCGGGUUGUAAAGCACUUUCAGUCAGGAGGAAGGGGUGAUGGCUAAUAUCCAUCAUCAUUGACGUUACUGACGGAAGAAGCACCGGCUAACUCCGUGCCAGCAGCCGCCGUAA